rnacentral:rRNA from 1 species
CCUACGGGAGGCAGCAGUAGGGAAUCUUCCACAAUGGGCGAAAGCCUGAUGGAGCAACGCCGCGUGGGUGAAGAAGGUCUUCGGAUCGUAAAACCCUGUUGUUAGAGAAGAAAGUUCGUGAGAGUAACUGUUCACGAUUCGACGGUAUCUACCCAGAAAGCCACGGCUAACUACGUGCCAGCAGCCGCGGUAAUACGUAGGUGGCAAGCGUUAUCCGGAUUUAUUGGGCGUAAAGCGCACGCAGGCGGUAUGUUAAGUCUGGGGUGAAAGCCUUGGGCUUAACCGGAGUAGUGCAUUGGAAACUGGGAGACUUGAGUGCAGGAGAGGAGAGUGGAACUCCAGGUGUAGGGGUGAAAUGCGUAGAUAUAUGGAGGAACACCAGUGGCGAAGGCGACUAUCUGGCAUAUAACUGACGCUGAGGUUCGAAAGCGUGGGUAGCAAACAGGAUUAGAUACCCUAGUAGUC